GACUCUCGGCAACGGAUAUCUCGGCUCUCGCAUCGAUGAAGAACGUARCGAAAUGCGAUACUUGGUGUGAAUUGCAGAAUCCCGUGAACCAUCGAGUCUUUGAACGCAAGUUGCGCCCGAAGCCGUCAGGCCGAGGGCACGUCUGCCUGGGUGUCACGC
rnacentral:rRNA from 1 species